UCCAUUGAGUGGGCUUAGGAAUGUUUCUCCUCCUCCAAAAGGCUCACUUGGACUUGUUUACCAGGCAGCAGCAUUCUGGGUGGCCUACUCUCAGAAUGUGUGCAAUGUUGCUUCUGCCACCUUCUACUGGUCAAGGGAACAGUCUAAUCCCUGGAAUAGAGCUGCCAUUUCUUCCCAUUGUGCACCUGCGACCACCCAGAGUGAAGAUAGAAGAAACUCCUAGGGGAAAAAUUCAGGAUGAAAGAUAAAGGAAGGAAGAUCCAGGCAAAAGGCACAGCACUCCACCUGACAACUUUUCCAAUUUAUCCAAAUCCAAAUCAUUUGUAUAAAUUCCCAUUCAAACAGAACUACAUGAAGAUGUUCCUUUGCCAAAAUAUCUAUACAAUCGUGUAAAAAAACCAAUUUGUUAAACAUAAAAAUCAAGUGGAAACUA